rnacentral:rRNA from 1 species
CUCCAGUUGGAUGCAUGUCCUUCUGGGAAAGAUUCAUCGGUAUGGGAUGGGGUCGCGUCCUAUCAGCUUGAUGGCGGGGUAACGGCCCACCAUGGCUUCGACGGGUAGCCGGCCUGAGAGGGCGACCGGCCACAUUGGGACUGAGAUACGGCCCAGACUCCUACGGGAGGCAGCAGUGGGGAAUAUUGCACAAUGGGCGCAAGCCUGAUGCAGCGACGCCGCGUGCGGGAUGACGGCCUUCGGGUUGUAAACCGCUUUUGACUGGGAGCAAGCCCUUCGGGGUGAGUGUACCUUUCGAAUAAGCACCGGCUAACUACGUGCCAGCAGCCGCGGUAAUACGUAGGGUGCAAGCGUUAUCCGGAAUUAUUGGGCGUAAAGGGCUCGUAGGCGGUUCGUCGCGUCCGGUGUGAAAGUCCAUCGCCUAACGGUGGAUCCGCGCCGGGUACGGGCGGG